AAUGAACGCUGGCGGCGCGCCUAAUACAUGCAAGUCGAGCGAGAAGACGUAGCAAUACGUUUGUAAAGCGGCGAACGGGUGAGGAAUACAUGGGUAACCUACCCUAGAGUGGGGAAUAACUAGCCGAAAGGUUAGCUAAUACCGCGUACGCUCCUUGGACUUCGGUUCAGGGAGGAAAGCGAUACCGAGGGUAUCGCGCUCUUGGAUGGGCUCAUGUCCUAUCAGCUUGUUGGGAGGUAACGGCUCACCAAGGCUUCGACGGGUAGCUGGUCUGAGAGGACGAUCAGCCACACUGGCACUGCGACACGGGCCAGACUCCUACGGGAGGCAGCAGUAAGGAAUAUUGCGCAAUGGGCGAAAGCCUGACGCAGCGACGCCGCGUGGGGGAGUGAAGGUC
rnacentral:rRNA from 1 species